AGUUUCCACCCAGAAGGCUUCUCAUGGCUGUCCGUUUAAGGGAUGUAUUAUCUUUUCCCUUUUAGGAGUGUGUUCUCAGCUGCUACACCAGCAACUGCACUCCUACUUGUCCGUUUGAAAACUUUUUCUUCUGACUGCAGAGUGGAUAACAUGCGCCACGGCCAUAUUACUUCUCCGCGGAGCCCGCUCAAAGGAACUUAGCCCGCUUCAUAUUCGCCUUGUAAAGCUCAAGACUCUGAAAAUGUAGCCAUUUCUGCAAAAGUCCAACUGCCAGAAAAUGAGACAAUUCUAGCGACUUCUCACCUUCCGGCCAACCCCGGCUACUGGCGGCAAAUCCAGCCGCUUGCCUCCUGUACGUCAGGUGUCCCAACAUGGCCGCCCCCAUGUGACGGCGAGCUGGGCGCGGACAUAUUGCCUCCGAGGGACAAGAGGGAAAUCCACUAGUCCGCGUUACUUCAAAUACUUAAGACCCACAUCGGCUGCCGUAGACGGAGCCGACAGGGGCGACCGGUCCAGAAGUCCGAACAGUUUACGGAAGUACAACGCUUAGACUCUCCUACUGGGUCUGGGGAAACAGCCUUUAAUUCAGGAGUUGACUGACUACAGAUCGAGGGACUAAAGGAGCAACGCACGUCCGUUAUGUAUCGUCUAUGGCUGCUUUCGCCCUUCAAAGGCAGAACCCACAGGUCCUGACUCCCCAGGAGGAAGAGAAUCAUGUGAAGGAGGAAGAAGUUACAGGAUUUGGUAUCAGUAUUUCUGGGGACUCACUUGACUGAGGACUGAGAUUUCUGAACAGGAAUUCAGAGCAGAUCCGGAAGACAAAGACAGAGCCUCUACACUGCCAGCUAUUUUCAGAGAAGGGGAGAAAAUGAUCGAGGCCCAGGAACCCCUGACAUUUGACGAUGUGGCUGUGGACUUCACCAGGGAGGAGUGGCAGCUCCUGGCCCCUGCUCAGAAGGACCUGUACUGGGACGUGAUGUUGGAGAACUAUAGCAACCUGGUGUCUGUGGGUUAUCAAGCCAGCAGACCACACGCACUCUCCAGGUUGGUGCAAGGAGAACCACCAUGGACAAUGGAAGAUGAAAUCCACUGUCGAACCCAUUCAGAAAUCUGGAAACUUGACGAUCAUGUGCCAGAACACUUACAAAAAGAAAGUAUGGAGGAUAGACUGGAACAAUGGCAUGAACGUGACACACUUGAAAAUUCUCUUCAUAAGAGCAGAACUCAUUUGGUGUUAAGGCAAAAUCAUGACCUAGUUGACGUACAGGGAAAAAGUAUGAAAUCAAAUUUAACUUUACUUAACCAGAGCAGAAGCUAUGAAACAAAGAGCUCUGCGGAGCUUACUGGAGAUGGGAAAUCCUUUCUCCAUGCUAACAAUGAACAGUUUCAUACUGACACUAAAUUCCCUGAGAGCCAAAAACUCGUCAGCACUAAGUGUCAAUUCAUUAAGUAUCAGAAAACUCAAAAAAUAAAGAAACCUCAUGUAUGCAGUGAAUGUGGGAAAGCUUUUAUCAAGAAGUCUUGGCUUACUGAUCACCAGAAUCUUCAUACAGGAGAGAAACCCCAUCAGUGUAGUCUGUGUGGGAAAGCAUUCUCCAGAAGGUUCUUGCUCACUGAACACCUGAGAAUGCAUACAGGAGAAAAACCUUAUGAAUGCACUGAAUGUGGCAAAGCCUUUCUCAAGAAAUCACGGCUCAAUAUACAUCAGAAAACUCACACAGGAGAGAAACCCUUUAUAUGCAGUGAAUGUGGGAAAGGAUUUAUCCAGAAGGGAAAUCUCAUGGUACAUCUCCGGAUUCAUACAGGUGAGAAACCUUAUAAAUGCAAUGAAUGUGGAAAAGGAUUCAGCCAGAAGACAUGCCUCAUAGCACAUCAGAGAUUUCACACAGGAAAGACUCCCUUUGUGUGCAGUGAAUGUGGAAAAUCCUGUUCCCAGAAGACAGGUCUCAUUAAACAUCAAAGAAUUCACACAGGGGAGAAACCCUUUGAAUGCAGUGACUGUGGGAAAGCCUUUAUCGGGAAGUCACAGCUUGUUAUACAUCAGAGAACUCAUACAGGAGAGAAGCCCUAUGGAUGCAGUGAAUGUGGGAAAUCAUUCAGAGGGAAGUCAGUCCUCAAUAAACAUCAGAAAAUUCAUUCAGUCAAGGUGGAGAAUCCUUCCUCUGAGAGUCACAGGGUAUCACAGACCAGUGUUGUCCUGCAGGAGAAAAACUUUGUUAAUAUGGUGACUAUGCAAGUGCCUUCUGUGGUCCCUCAGACAUCAUUAAACAUCAGUGGGCUCCUAGCAGACAGGAAUGUAGUCAUAAUGGGACACCCUGUGGCCAGAUGUGCACCGUCAGGAGGGUUUGCACAGGAGAGAACCCUUAUGAAUGCAGUGAAUGUGCUUGCGCCUUCAGUGAUCAAUUACGUCUUAUUUUAUGUCAUGGAAAACCAGUAGGAAAAAACUCAGAGACAUCUGGUGUAGAAAAAGGUUCUCUGGGAAACUUAGAAGAAUGCAAAUUCCUGAGUCAUACCUCUCACCUCCUAAACCAGAACCUCUGGGACGAGUCUAGGACUGUGCAUUUUUAACAAUGGCCUCAUGCACCCCUAAUUUUGAACCUAUUCACCCUAAAUCCUGGAAUAUGUCCCCAUCACCACUCUCACAUUAUAAUGAUAUGGAUUCAAGACAGAUACUCUCCAGCAAAGAAUCAGCCAUGAGUGCUCCAGUAACCAGACCCUCUGAUGUCCACUUCCGGCCACGGCAAGGUCAGGUUGGCUCACUGGUGGAACUGCUCAGUCCCUGAGCCUUGAGGGCCGAGUGCUGAGCUCCCUUUUCAGAGCCUGACAUCCCCAGGUGAACAAGGCCUCGUGUACACCUAAGCCUGCUACCACACUCAGGUUCCUUAUGGUUCCAAUAAAGAUCACCCUUCGCCUUGAAUAGUGGGUCCUGAUGUCACACUCCCUGAUUUGAAUCCUGCCCUGCUGGCCCAAGCUAUGUGCCUUUGAGCAAGUUACUUAACUCACCUAUGUCUCAGUUUAUCUGUAAAAUCAUAUCUGCCUCACAGGUUUGUCGUGGGAAGUAGAUGUAGUUAAAACAGUGCCUGCGAAACAGGUAGUUAAGAAAAGUAUUAUCAGUCCUGGUAAGGAAGGAGUCCCUCUUUCCUCCCAUCUUCUGGGUCUCUCCAUCCUUCAUCGUCAAUGAAGACUUCUUCAGUGAAGCUUUCCCUCACUAGGCCAAAUUCCCCAAUUUCUGGCCCUCCACAGAACCAUGUUCCUCUCCUUUUAAUCGCUUUAUUGACUUGCAGUUUUAUAUUUCCUGUAUUUAGAUGUGUAUUCCCCAUCUGGAUUUGACUGAAAUCGUUUGAAUUGGUCACAACAACAGGUCAACCUAUUGUUGAAUAGGUCACAUAGGCAUGUGGUUCAAAACUUAAAACUGUAUAAAAAGGUGCAUUUAUGAGUCUUACUCUUAGCCUGUUCUCAGUCCUCAGCCCCAGUUUUCCCUUGACCAUCUGCCUCCUACAGGUAAACUUGUUGAUUGUGAGUCCUUCCAGUAUUUCUUUUGUCAAUACAAGCAAGUAGAUAUUUAUUUUUUCUCCCUUUUCUUUUCAAAAAGCAGCACACUAUAUCCACUCUCUUGUACCUCUGCUGUAUUUAAUUAUCGCCGAGCAGCAGCAUAGCACCUAGCAGGGAACUGAGGAAGAGAAGACUAUCCUGUAAGCCAAAUUCAGUCACGCACCGCAUAACAUUUUGGUCAAGGAUGGACACUAUGUAUGACAGUGGUCCCAUAAGAUUAGUACCAGAGAGCCUAGAAAUACUGUAUAUGUUUGAAGCCUCACCCGUCUUGCUUCACUACCAGAGGCAGCCACAUUCCCAGGCCCCCGUGGGCAUCAUUUUCACAGAGCCCCGUCCUCACUCCAAGAGGCUAAACAGAAUACAGCCCGGGCCGCGUCGGCCUUGGCUGGGCUCCGGCCGCUGAAAACUUACUCAGCUCAGUGCUGUCGAUCAACAGCGAGGAGGGAAAGGCAAGGAGGUGCCCAAAGGCGAUUUCAAUUUCUUCUCAUUGCGGUGAGUCGUAGCCGCCGGGGUCCGAUCGCCGAGAUGGGCGUGGCCGCGUGACGUCACAGAGCUGGCCGGCGGCCAGAACUCAAACUUUGAUGAGGGCGCCGGGGUCCAAGUCGGAUCAGAAGCGUCCCUAGGGACAGCCAGAGACGGGGCUUCGGGGUCACCGCACCCGAAUGCGAAUCGUUUUGGAAAUGAAUUCAGCCGUUGGUAGCUGCCAGUGGAGACUUGAGACGCUCAGCAUCCGAUGGGUCGAGGGGGAGGCCAGUGUAUGUCUGUGGAGAGGCAUGAGGCUGAAGGUUUGGAGAACGUGUGUCCCUGGAGAGUAGGUAGGUUGCGUCUCAGAUCUUGACUGCUGGAAACAGACGAUGAUACUUUCAUCCAGCUGAUCCGAAUUCACUUCACUCCUUCAAGCCCGUGUCUUCCUCAAGGUACUAAUUAAAAACACUUGUCACAUACAGUCUAGUCAUUAUCUUCUUAAAGUAGAUAGCUAUGCUGCUGUAUGACUGCAGGCCCUGGCUUUUUGAUGGCCGUCAGCUGGUAGGCCAACCUCAGGUCCUGGAGGCCUCCUAUAUUCCUCCUCACAUGGCUUCUAAAGUCUAUGGUCUAUGUUAUAAAACAUGUGUUUUGUUUUUCUUGCCUCCAGGUUGACUCCAUGUUUUCUUGGCUAUUUCAAUACUUUUGUGUUUAUUCUGCAGAAGUAAAAACAUCUCCAUUGCCCUAAGCUCUGAUCAGUGAAAACCAUUGCAUGUGUGUGUGUGUUUUAAAUCUUUUUGUGCUACUUUCUUAUUUGGAGUGAUCUGUAUAACAUAGGUAUCAGUUGAUUUUAUCACUUAAUUUCUAAUUAUAAAUAUAUGUCCAUGGUAUAAAAUGAUUACACAUUUCCUUAAUGGCGGCAAUAGUGUCACAUCAGGUGCGUGAACUAGUGACAAGGUGACUAGAGUCACAUUAAAUGUGUACAUUAAUUCGGAUAACUUGACAUAUAUUCAGAUAUAGUUUUUUGCAACACCUUGGGAUUCUCUGCUUAUUCGGGUUUUCCCACCCAAGGCCAGGAUUUGUUGUGUCUUUUCGUGUAUGUCUCAGACAUUUCUGGUUAUACUUAUUCGUAGGUAGUUUAUACUUCUUUGCAAUUAUAAGUAGUGCCUUUUAGAAAAAUUCCCUACUUCUAAACUUUGCACUCUAAUGGAGCAAUUGAAUUGCUCUUGGUAUUACUGAAAGUGAAAGUUUCAGUGGAUUUCUUUACAUUUUCUAGGUGAGCAGUUUUAGUAUCUGCCAAUAAUUUUGGCUCAAGAGUGAGUGGCAUGAACAAAGCUGUCUUUUUAAGUGUUUUCCCCCCUCAGCCAUGUGCUUUGAACAAGUCUUUCCAGGGGAUGUUGUGAAAUUAAGAGAACUAAUAUGUCUCAACAUGUAUAGCAUCUACCAGGAUACAAAUUUCUAUGAACUGCUUUAUCUGCCUCUCACUAGUUUUGCUAUUUAAAAUUUUGUAUAUUAUUCAGUGUAUUAGUUUUCUAUUGCUGUGUGAUAAAUUACCACAAAGUUAGUGGUUUAGAACGGCACACAUUUGUCAUUUCACAGUUUGUAUAGGUCAGAGGUCCAGGCGCAUUUCACCAGGGACUUCUGCUUUCAGUGUCACAAGGCUGUAAUCGUGAUGUCAGCCAGAAUGCGUUCUCAUUUGGAGGCUCAGCUGGGGAAGAAUUUGCUUCCAAAGUCACUCAGGUUGUUGGGAGAGUUCCUUGCUGCUGUAUGACUGCAGGCCCUGGCUUUUUGAUGGCCGUCAGCUGGUAGGCCAACCUCAGGUCCUGGAGGCCUCCUAUAUUCCUCCUCACAUGGCCACCUCUGUGGGCAGUUCAGAACAUAGCUGUUUGCUUCUGCGAGACCAGCAAGACAGAAUCACAUUCCAGUCUCUAAGACACGGUCUUCUAUAAUGUAACAUAAUCAUGGGAGUGAUGUCACAUCACCUUUGGUGUAUUCUGUUGGCUAGAAGGAAGUCACAAAUCCCACCCACACUCAAGGGGAGAGGAUUAUACAGGUGUGACAACUGGAAACCAGAAAUCAUGGGGCCAUCUUAAAAUUCUGCCUACAUGUUAAGUUUAAAGUGUUUUCUAAUUUCCACUUUCUUCGACUCGUAUGAGUUUAAUAAUUUUCAAAUAUAUGAGGAUUUUUCAGUUUUGUUUCUGUUAUUGAUUUUUAGCUUAAUUGCAUGACAUUUGGAGCACAUGCUUUGUAUUAUUUCAGUCCUUUGAAAUGAAUGGAGACUUGUCUUCUGACCAAAUGUAUGACUGACUUUUGUAAAAGUUUCAUAUGUACUAGAAAAGUGUGUGUGUGUAUCUUCUUGAGUGCCGGCUCUGCUCAUGACCCUUAAGUCAUGUUUGCUCUUCACAUUGCUAACAUUCUUCAUCCUUCUUAAUUUUUGGUCUGCUUUUAGUCUUUCAGUGAGGAAGAGAGAUAUAUUAAAGUUUCUUACCUAAAUGUGAGUUUUCAAUUUCUCCUUCUAGUUUUGUUGAUUUUUGUUUUAUAUAUUUUAAAUUCAUGUGGUUAAUUGUUAGAUGGUCCUGGUGAGAACAUUUUAGCAUUAAGAAAUACUCCUCUAUUCUAUUAAUUAUUUUUUCUCUUGAAGUCCUCUCUGUCCGUUAAUGUUUUCAUAUUAUAUCUUUUACAAUCCUUUCAAUCUUUCUUUAUUCUUAUGUAUUAGAUGUAGAAAUGUUGAGAGGUUAAAAAUGGUUUUAUCUUCCCACAGAGAUUUUUUUCCUCUGCUUCUCCCAGGUGCUAAUGGUUCCUAGCAAUCCAAAUUCAUAUUUCUUUAAGGGGUUGAGAAUUUUCUGGCUCACUCACUAAUUUGAGAUUGCACUACAGUCCACCUUUAUUUUUAGGGCACUGUCUUCAGGAUCUCAAGUCAAAGAGCCAGAGUUUCCAGGGCCCCUGAGCUUGGUAGAUCCUGGACUCUUAGCUUGUGUUCCUCUAACCCUGUUUUGGUGUCACAAGCACAGCCCAGUAUCUAAACCACCUCCUCUGUUAUUGACAGGGACCCUGUGGGGAAAGUGACCCCAAGUGGAAGAGUCACUUCUCUGCAUUUGAGUUUUUCCCAGAUCUCAGCCCCGUACUUUCAAAGGUGAAUACUUGGUUCAUUUAUUUUUAAUAUCACUUCUAAUAAAUAUUUAAGAGCUAAAUUUCCUUCCAAUACUCCAGUUUAACAUAGGUUUACAUAUAUUGUGCUUUCCUUGCCAUUUAAUACUAAAUAAUUCAGAGUUUUCAUUUAUAUUGCCUUUUUAAUUUGAAGGUUUUUAAUGUGAUUUUUUUUCUAGGUAUGCAGGUUUUUGUUUCUGUUCCAAUUAAUUUGUUGAGUUUCUCAUUCCUGUUGAUUUCUAGUUCUGGUGCAUUGUGGUCAAGGAGUAAGCUUCUUUGAUAUUAAUUUUUGAAAUUUGUGAAAAUGUCUUUCUAUGGCCUACUUUGCUCUAUAAAGAUUUACAUUUUUAUGUUUGCAUGUGUGUAUAUUCUGGAAAGGCAGAUGCCCUUUCUAGGGCAACAGGAGUUUUUCCAUUAAAGUGAAUGUGCAUAAUGCCAAGAAAUCAUCAGGAAAUUCUGCCCAUUGCUUGUAGGAGGGACAUGAGGGCUCAUGGAUAGGGAGCACUGAAAUUUGGAUAUGGCCAAGAUGUUGCAUCCCUGUCAUCCUUCCCAUGAAUAAUCCUUAAAUAAUUGUAUAGUUACAGUUUUAUAGUCUUUAAUAAUCCUAUCAAUAGUUUUACACCUUUUUUCUUGGUUUGGCGCUAUAAGGAGGCAGAUCUGAUAGCCCUGGUGCUUAGAGGAAAGUGAUUCUAGGUUGGAGAUCAAGGGGGAAUACAUGUACCCAGAAAUCAAAGAACAGUUGCUGCAGAGUUCUAUGGGUUUGAGGAUUUAGAAAAGAUAUGGCCAGAAGGAGUGGAAGCAAAAACUCAAGGUAAUUCGGCAGAGUUAAUGACCUUAUCAUGUGAGCCUUUCUGACUCCUUGUUUUUCUUUGAUUUUCUGCUUUGGAGUGAGUGUUGGGGCAUGCUCCUUUUCCAUUUCUCUGUUUGUGGAAGAAGGUUGCUCCGUGUGUGCACGCGCACACACACACACGUGCAUUGAGUUCUAGGGGCUGUUUCCAGAACUCCCGUUAUUCACUAUGGCUGUAUACUACCUUCUGGUGUGAUAUUGUGGAUAGUAAACUUUUCAGGCAGUUCUACAGAGGACUGAACGUUGAUUGUGAUGUUAUCUGGUUAAGAAAGUACAAUAGUGGUUAAAGUGGUGAGCUUUGGAGAGAAAAAGGCCUUGGUUUGAAUUUCAGCUCUGCCUCUUAGAAAGUGUGUGGCUCUGGACAGGAUACUUUAUCUCCAGGUGUUAAGUCUUGACUUUCCAUUGUUUAAAAAUGGGUCUAGUGAUUUGGUAGUUCUAGGUUGGUGGUGAGGGUUAAAUAAGAAAAUGCUUACGAAAAGUGAUUUAUUUAGCAUGUUAAUCUUCGUACUGUUUGCACUGCCUUGAGAUCUAAACAUUGCGGUUUUCUAAAGGAAACUUUUAAGUAUUGGGGUUUUAUGUUAGAGGACACCUAUAUUGGUUUUCUAUUGGUUCUGUAAUAAAUUAACAUAAACUUAAUGGCCUAAAACAUCACCAGCUUAUUAUAUUACAGUUCCACAGAGUAGAAGUUCAACAUGGGUCUCACUGGGCUAAAAUCAAGGUAUCUGCGGGAGUGUCCUCUUUUCUGGGUGUUCCAGAGGAAAGUCUGUUUCUUUGCCUUUUCGGGCUUCUAGAGGCCAUCCGCACUUCUAAGCUGCAGGCUCCCUUUCCCCCCGUCUUCAAAGCCAGCAAUGGUGUGUGGCGUUCUUGUCACAUCCCAACUCUCUGGUAUCUUCUGCCUCCGUUUUCUGGUUGUAAGGACCCUGCGAUUACCUUGGGUCCACCUGAAUAAUCCAGGAAAUCUCCCUGUUUUUAGGUCAGCUGAUGAACAGCUGUCAUUUCAUCAGCAAUCUUAAUUCCCCUUUCUGUGUGAUGUAACAUACUCACAGGCUCCUGGGAUUAGAAUGUGGGUAUCUUUGAUUCUGCCUACCACAGCCCCUAUAGCAACACUGACAAAAUGUGUGGCCCAAAGGAAUGUACCACUUAAAGUGAAUUUGCUUUUGAGUCCUUAGAGUCAAAUGAAGUAAGGAGAAGAUAGUUCCAGGACCAGGAGAGCAUCAUUUUUGGGGAUACUGUUAACUUGAAUUGUAAGAUCUAUGACCAGAAUUUCAGCGACAAUCUAGAAGGGUAAAAUCACAGAGAUCCCAGUUACUGGCCGUUUUCUCAGAAUGGAAUAAAAUGACCAAGGUCCAGGAGUAAUUAGGUUACAAAUCACUGCUCCCCAGUCAUUCAUUUGAAACUUUGUGCUUGCUUGAAGAGGACAAAUGACUGAUGCAAGUUCCUCAGGAGCCUGGAGGAGGAACCCCCAUGGAACUUUGUUUCCAGUCUCUGAGGAGAGCACAUGGCUGGCUGAUGGUAGAAUCCUUGAGGGUGUGUGAUGAAGAUGAUUCUGAGACUGUGGGCAGAAACUGAAAACUGCAGCCAAAUGUUUCCUUUGCAGCAAGAAGAGAAAGACAGGAAAAAGCAAGUCCCUUCUCCAUAUUCCUUCUGCCUGCCCAUUCUCUCUAGUGCUCCAUAUUGGGAAAACCUAACAUGAAGGCAGCCAGCAAAAGAUAAUGUGGUUUGCAAUACCAGCCCCAGAAUUACAAAGCAGACAAUGGAAGAGUAGGUUGAGACAUGGGAGACAAUAGCUGUAAUAACUAGCACAGCAACCUUCUUUAAUUGUGAGUAGCUAUGAUGCGUGCCUCCCCCAAUUUACAAAUAUUACAGUCUACUUAUAGAUGAGUGCAGAAUGAAAAUAUAUUUGUGAAUAGGAUGAUGCUUAUUCAAACAAUCCUUGAAUAUUUGUUGUGUAUAAGAAAAUAUGUUAGUAAAGUUAUUAGUCAUGA